rnacentral:rRNA from 1 species
CAGUAGCCGCGGUAAUACGAAGGGGGCUAGCGUUGUUCGUAAUUACUGGGCGUAAAGCGCACGUAGGCGGACAUUUAAGUCAGGGGUGAAAUCCCGGGGCUCAACCCCGGAACUGCCUUUGAUACUGGGUGUCUAGAGUAUGGAAGAGGUGAGUGGAAUUCCGAGUGUAGAGGUGAAAUUCGUAGAUAUUCGGAGGAACACCAGUGGCGAAGGCGACUGACUGGACAAGUAUUGACGCUGAGGUGCGAAAGCGUGGGGAGCAAACAGGAUUAGAUACCCCGGUAGUCCCUGUCUCUUAUAC